rnacentral:lncRNA from 1 species
GUAGCAGUAAAUCUUCCCGCCCUCUCACCAGCAACAGUUGAAAAUGGCGGCUUACGUUAAUCAUUUAACCCUUGAUUAAGCAUUUAAUCUUUCUUCAUAAUCUCGUUUAGUCUCUCAUAUAUAUUAUAAAUUAAUUUAACCGAUUCAUAUUUUCAGUUACACAGUGAUUUUCUCAAAUUUAGCCGACGAAAUGCCCGGCUUAGUUUCCGUAAAAACCCCACCCAAUGGGUCCCAAACACCGAUCCGAACCGAAUCCAACAGGUCAGAAUCCGGUAACCCGAUAUCCAACUCCCCGGCCACUCGCCGACCUGCCUCGCCUUCGCCGUCAACAUCACGCGCCAAACCCUCCCCAGAUCGGAAGAAAAAGUCCCCUCCGGAAAAAUCAGUACUCGACAAGUCCUCCCUUGACAACCCGGAUCUCGGCCCCUUUUUGUUGAAACUGGCCCGAGAUGCAAUUGCGUCGGGCGAGGGCCCGAACAAGGGUUUGGAAUAUGCUCUUCGGGCUGCGAAGUCUUUUGAGAAGUGCGUGGUUGACAAUGAGCCGAGUUUGGAUUUGGCGAUGAGUUUGCACGUUGUGGCGGCGAUUUAUUGUAGUUUGGGGAGAUUUGAGGAGGCGGUACCGGUUUUGGAACGGGCAAUUAAGGUGCCGGAGGUGUCAAGAGGGGCGGAUCAUGCACUCGCCGCAUUCUCCGGCUACAUGCAGUUAGGGGAUACGCAUUCGAUGCUCGGGCAGCUGGAUCGCUCUAUUGAGUGUUACAAGGAAGGUUUGAAGAUACAGAUGGAGGCCUUGGGAGAAAAUGAUCCCAGGGUUGCAGAAACUUGCAGGUAGAUUAACUUUUUGUCAUCUUUUUCAUUUUCCGGAGUUUUUUGUUGAUCGUUAAAAAGCAUUAAUUAGAAUUCAAUUGGGUUUGUUAUUGAGAAAUUUGAAUUUAUUGAAUUGGUGGGCGUUUGAUCUGAGGAUGCUUAUGGAAUUUAGAAGUGUGAGAACCAAGGAGUUAUUAAGCAUUGGUAAAGCAUUCCGUUGAGCCAAAUAUGUGGGAGUCUUCUCUAAUUAGAGUAUUUUCUUGAUUACUCAGCCCAUUACGUCAAGAUAAACAAGUAACAUUCUAUCAUGAGUUGAUCCUUAUAUUUGGAUGUCAAAUGAUGAUUCAUUUCUAGUUACGUAGCACAACCAAUGAGAGAGAAUCUUUUUGUCAUUUAAAACCUGAAUAAUGCUGAUAGAAAAAAAAAAAUUAGCAUUUUGAGGGCAUUAUAUUGAUCUGCUCCAUAAGGCAAUUUUAGAUUUUAUAAUGGUAUCACAGAUGAGUCUUGUAACAUCUAUCCUGCUUUGCUCUUGAGAACUCUUCUAGUUUUGUGAUUGAUGAAGGUCGUUUAAAUCCAGAUAACUUGUAUUUUUGAUGAUUUACAACAUGUUUUCCUAUGCAUGACAUCGAUGUGUAUUAUUAUGUCAGUAUUUCAAUUUAUCCCGAAAAGGAUAGAAUCUAUUAUGCUGAAAUUUAUUCCAUCAUGAUUUUUCAACUUGCAGGUACUUGGCUGAGGCCCAUGUUCAAGCAGUACAAUUUGAUGAAGCUGAGAAUCUGUGCAAGAAAACCCUUGAGAUUCACCGUGUUCAUAGUCCACCAGCUUCUCUUGAAGAAGCAGCUGACCGUCGGUUGAUGGCUCUCAUAUGCGAGGCUAAAGAAGAUUAUGAAUCAGCCCUUGAACACCUUGUACUUGCCAGAAUGACAAUGAUUGCCAAUGGACAGGAAAAUGAGGUUGCAGCUAUUGAUGUUAGCAUUGGCAACAUAUACCUGUCCCUUUUCCGCUUUGACGAGGCAGUUUUUUCCUACCAAAAGGCACUGACUGUCUUCAAAUCUUCAAAGGGUGACAACCACCCUUCGGUUGCCUCAGUCUUUGUUAGGCUUGCUGACUUAUACUACAAGACAGGAAAACUAAGGGAAUCCCGAUCUUAUUGUGAAAAUGCCUUGAGAAUAUACGCAAACCCCAUACCUGGAACUGCCAUAGAAGAGAUUGCGAGUGGAAUGACUGAAAUUUCAGCUAUCUAUGAAUUGUUCGACGAACCUGAAGAGGCGCUAAAACUCUUGGAGGAAUCCAUAAAACUUUUGGAGGAUAAGCCCGGGCAGCAAAGUACAAUUGCUGGAAUCCAAGCACGGAUUGGAGUGAUGUUUUACGUGGUUGGAAGGUAUGAAGAAUCAUGGAGCUCUUUUGAGAAUGCUGUAACAAAACUUAGGGCCAAUGGUGAGAGGAAAUCAGCAUUCUUUGGAGUUGUGUUGAACCAGAUGGGGUUGGCUGGUGUACAAUUAUUCAAGAUAGACGAGGCUGCCGAGUUAUUUGAAGAAGCAAGAGAAAUAUUGGAACGGGAGUGUGGCCCAUAUCAUCAGGAUACUCUUGGUGUAUAUAGCAAUCUUGCAGCAACUUAUGAUGCUAUGGGAAGGUAAUAUCACUAGACGAAAUGCUUUUUAAUUUUUGUUGAGAAUUCCCAACUUAGCGCCCCCCCCCCGGGGGGGGCACCCCUGCGCGCCCCCAAAAAAAAGAACUUGCUGAAAUUAGGGAGAAUUUAAUUUCUCAGGAAUUAUAAAAUAGUCUUUCUGACCUCACUUGUUGAUUGAAACAUGGAAUUUCAAAUGCUGUUUUCUAUUCCAAACUAUGGGUUAAACCUCCUUGGGAAUUAAAUACCUAAGCUUUUUGGACUUGUCCAAAAUUAAAUUCUGGGUUGUAUCGACUCUUGAGAUUUGUGAUAUAAAAUAUUAUCUACUUUUUGAGCUCAUGGCAUCAGCAUGAGAAGUGAAGCUACGUCCUUGGCAUCAGAUACAGCCAUGAAUGCAUCUGUAUUCUGAUUAUGACCCUGUUGGGAACUGUAAUUAAAGGCUGCAUUUGUUAUUGAAUUUUAAUUUCAAAUCGAUAAGAAUCUUGAAAUGGAGAAACUGAAACUUAAAGUAUGGAUCAAUGGAUUUACUGUCUGUUUGAAGCAUGACAUGAUGAUGCACCAUAAGUAGCUUUUUGGAAGUCCUGAGAGCCUGAUAUUAUGCCUGCGUGUUAAUACCUUGAUGCCAUAAAAUGGAUUGGUGUGACCCUGAUUUGACAACGUUUUCUGUAAAUCCCCAGAAUUGAGGAUGCAAUAGAGAUUCUUGAGUUUGUUCUUAAAUUGAGAGAAGACAAUCUUGGAACAGCAAAUCCAGAUUUCGAUGAUGAGAAGAAAAGGCUAACUGAGCUUUUGAAAGAAUCUGGCAAGUCUAGGAACAAGAAGGCAAAAUCACUUGAAAACCUUAUCGACCCUAAUUCCAGAAGGACAAAGAAACAGACGUCAAGAAAGUGGUCUGGUUUUGGGCUCAGAAGUUGAUGGAGGUAAUUUACCCCAAGCCUUUCUAUUUCACAUCCUGUUACAUAGAAGAUUGUGGAUAGUGUUGAAGCUGUAAUUUCACAAGACCUAUCGUCUUCUUGGCCUUUGAGAUGCCAUUCUUUUUUCUUUUCAUUUUCCCGAUUAGUUGUUCAAUGAGUUGUCAAUUUGCGAUGUUGAAUUCUGGGUAAGAAUUUGUUUUCUUUGAGGAGUUUGUUUCGGCCUACUGAUGAAAUAAUAAAUUUAUUUUGUCUCUAGUUCUACAUUAAAACUUGAUAACCGUGAUCUCUCUUGCAAAUUCUGUGGCGGAAAGCAUGAAAAUUUAGUCUGUGCCUUGUGUAAUGAAACAGACGUUUUCCUGAAUUUCCAUUUAUCCAAAUAAAUCAAACAUUAACAAUUCC